GCCUUUGAUAUUGCAAUGAAAAUACUUUUCCUUAUCAUCAGUCUUCUUCAAAACUUGCUUCUUGGGUAUGGCCUCGUUCUUUUGCUUCUUUACAGGCUUCUUCUUUUUCUUAAAAGAAGAUUUUCUCUUAGAGGAAGCCUGCUCCACAGUCAGAACCAUAUUCCUUGCACCUUUCAAGGUGUCCUCAGCUGUUACCAACAUAUUCAGCAGUUUGGGCAAAGUGCUAUCAAUCUUAUUCAUAUGGUCGUUCAUAAUAAAUUGCCCAUACA
rnacentral:lncRNA from 1 species